UCCUGUGAUGGCAUGAAAUCUUUGAGAACUGAUAGUCUAAUUUUGAUGACAAUCACAAGCAUAUUAUCUGAGGAG